GUCCCUGUAGCGCAAUGGAUAGCGCUUUGGACUUCUAAUCCAAAGGUCGUGGGUCCAAAUCCCACCUGGGAUG
rnacentral:tRNA from 1 species